GUCAGGUUUUUACAAGAUUAAGCAGUUAAAAAAGUCAAGAACAGAUGUACCACUUCAGACCAAGAAGUCGCCUAAUCCAGUAAACUGUUCUCAGUACCCAUAAACCUAUGCCAGGAGAAUGGGAGAAGAGGGCAAGAAGAGCAUGGCCUCAGGAUCCCAGAAUUGUCUGCUGUCAAUGAACAAGAAUGGGUUCAACAGUGAAGAGCCAUACACAGAGAGUGUACCUCAGAACUACAUGCUAAUACACAAUAACAGACUGAAUGAAGUGCAGAAUACCUUAUAAAGCCAUAGAGAAGAGGAAGCCAAUGUGCAGAAGAGAUAAUAGCUUGGGCACUGACCCUGCGAGACAUCUAACAAGUUGCUAUUAAUCUGAGAGAAGAAGAAUUUCCUCUUGCCUAUCAUACCUCAGGCAUAUCUCCUAACCACCAGACUAUUUGCCUUCUCACGUUUGGACCAAAAAUAUGUUCCUUUCCAAAAACUUCUAUUUUUCAGGUGUACUGCUGGAAGCAAUAAAUUUCAAAAUUGUGAUUGCAAAAUUU